UAGCUCGCGUGUGCGAAAGUGCGACAAGAAGACUUGGGUCUCGCUGAAAACGCGCUGUAUGCGUGGCGCGUUAGGCGAACACGAACCAUCGAUGUUCAUACCUUGGAGUGCGUUGCCUUUAUCUAUGUUUGUCGUGGAAAGUUUGAUGGACGUGCCAAAGAAAUAAUGCGUUAUUAUUAGCGUACCUAAACUCGCCCACUACGCUACGGCAUAUAUGCUGGGAGUAACAUCGUCGACGCAGCACUGGCUACUUGAAGAGAGCCUUGCGACUUCGUCCGGCUGUUAAAAAGAAGAAUCUUGAAGACGUCGAAGCGAAGCUGGUUGACGUAGACGUCGCCACAAACAGGACAUUUUGCGAAGGGUCAAGCGCGGUGAUAUUUCUGGAGUUUCCAGGAUCGUUAAACGAACGCAGCAUGGUGAACGGAACGGCACGCA